UAGUCCAGUCGAUUUGUGAAACAAUUGCUCAGAUUGUGGUAAAAGCAUACAAUUUUGCAGAGUGUUAGUUGAGGUCUUAACUAACAUUUAUAGCUAUGGACCCAAUUCAGAAAAUCAAAAUGGCGGCUCUGGGCGGCCAUUUUGAAAUCAUGUCCAAAAAAUUAAUAAAAUUUAUUAUUAAAAAUAUGAAAAAUAUAUUACAUUACCAAUUUUGAUAACCUUUCGUAUAUCUUAUGACAAAGAAUAUCAACUGAGGACUAUUGAAGUAUUAGGUGGCCAUCUUGAAUGGUGGCCAUUUUGGAAACGUAAAUUUCAAAUAUAUCAGUAUUCGCUAUUCUAAAUUGUUUUUUUAAUUAAUACUAAGUUUUAUAUGCAUUUACAACUAGUUUUUCUUAUCAUUUAUUUAUAUGACUGUUGCUAUUCAUAUAGGAUAUAUUCACCAAGUGCUCAAAUAAGGCAUGCAUAUGUUAACAAAUAAAUGUAUUUAAAAAAUACGCGUAAAUUCUUUUAAUUGCAGUUUAGCAUGUAGGGCUUAGUUACUUUUUUUACCACCAAAAAAUGCGUAUAUACAAUAUAAGUUAUGACCACUGUAUGUUGAAAAGGAAUAAUACGUAGGUAUUAAGUCAAUGGAGCUGAAAAAAAUAAUAAAUAGACUGGAAAGAAUUCCGUAACGCCAAGAGAGGACACAUGAGGAUUUACAAUGCCAAUCAAAUACAAAAA
rnacentral:lncRNA from 1 species